AGCUUACUGACUAGAACUAAAGCCUGUUGCACUGGGUUUGCAGGUCUCUCUUAUAGUUCAUAAAAACUGGUUGAUAUUGAUGACUAUGUUAAUUCUGCCAGUGAUGAAUUGAAUCUUGUUUUGUGGUGGGUGCAGAAGCCCAUGGGAAGAUCAAUGAGUGUACAGAUGAUUUUAUAUCAGUUUCAAAUUAUCCAUUGAAUGCAAAAGGCUGCAUAGGGUUGAUUUGCGAGUCGUUGGAGCAUAAAUGGAAGAUCUUUUGAGUCAUAUAUAUCUAAGUUAUUAAAUACUAAUUAAGGUUUGUACAAGCGCCGAAGAUAUCUAAACAUGAGUAUUACUUCAAAAAAAAAAAAAAAAAAAAAAGGAUGGUUAUUCAAUUUGAUGAAGUCAAUUUCUUCGACACUGAAAGGUAGAGGCCAGCACAAUACUAGUCAAGCCAAGUUGAGCUGAUUUCCAUCACUGCCGAAAAUAACUAACUUGUUGAUUGUCGUCAUCAGUUCUCUUCUCGGUGUCAAAUGCAUCUAUCAGGAUGGUCAAAGUUGUAUUAAUUCGUGUACUCAUUUAAGUUCCUUCUCGAUCAGUGAGAUUAUGAUAAAAGGAAUCCCGGUUAACAAGAACAACACGCUGAUCAUGAAGCUUCUGUAUAAUCUUAUCGCAAACUGUAGUCUUACCAGAAGCUGCCCUACCAGCUAAACGAACCCAUGUUCAGAGAUACAGAGAA